UACGUAGGGUGCGAGCGUUAAUCGGAAUUACUGGGCGUAAAGUGUGCGCAGGCGGCCGAGCAAGUCGAGUGUGAAAGCCCCGAGCUUAACUUGGGAACUGCGCUCGAAACUACUUGGCUAGAGUCCGGAAGAGGAGAGUGGAAUUCCUGGUGUAGCGGUGAAAUGCGCAGAUAUCAGGAAGAACACCCGUGGCUAAGGCGGCUCUCUAGUACGGUACUGACGCUGAGACGCGAAAGCGUGGGGAGCGAACAGG
rnacentral:rRNA from 1 species